rnacentral:lncRNA from 1 species
CAAGCUCAUUUUCGCUUGGCUGUCUCUCCCAACCCUCAUGGCGUCACGUUCUCUGCUGCUGCUGCCUUGCCUUCGUGGUAGAUGUAAGAUGUACAUGUCUCACCCUUUAGUUCUUUCUUUAUUCCUUUUCGCAACAUCGGAUAACCACGGCAUCAUGUAGAUAGAUAUAUAACGCCGUGAAUCGGAGCAUGCAUUCGGUGGUAUUUUGGAUCUUUGUGAUUAGGGUGGUCGCCGUUGGUCUAGAGACGACGGUGGAUCCGGCGGGAAUGGCGGGACCGGAAGUGGCGCUUUCCAGGAAGGGGAAGCCUCGACGUGCAUGCGAGCAAUCGAUUGAAUACUUCCCUGCUCUUUCUCACAUGUGUGCCGCGCUCCAUCGCAAUACAUCAAACGCUUGGUGUGCAUCUUCGCUUCGUCUGAAGCCGCUGUGGUCUUAGUCUUCUACGUGACCGAGUCGAAGUCGAGUGGGGCCCACCGCUACGCUGUGUCAAAUUCCUUUGGUCUGCUACCGCCAACACGUAGACGGACGCGCGCACGAUGUGGCCAGCUCGAUCACAGCCACAAACCACGCGGCUCCGCUCACGGGAUUCCCCCGCGUGCGCUUCCCCCUCUCCUCUUAACUCGUGCCGAUGUGCUCAUGUUCCGUCGGUGGACACGCGAUUUCGCCCUCGCUUUCGGGAUGUGCGUCCACCUUCAACCAAUCGAAGGACAGGUAGAAAGUGGGUUGUAACUGGACGGGUUAGCGAAUUAUUGAUUAGUUGGCUUGCACUGAAUCAGAUUCAGUCGAGCAUGACUGCUAGGUUAUGAACGGCAUCUUCAAAUCAAAUGCAUAUACUUCAUUUGCUUUCUGAAUUUGAAAUUGAAGUCGACUAAAUUUCUCAACAAAAAAAA